rnacentral:rRNA from 1 species
CAGCCGCCACGGUAAUACGUAGGGGGCUAGCGUUGUUCGGAAUUACUGGGCGUAAAGAGCUCGUAGGUGGUUUGUCGCGUUGUUCGUGAAAACUCACAGCUCAACUGUGGGCGUGCGGGCGAUACGGGCAGACUAGAGUACUGCAGGGGAGACUGGAAUUCCUGGUGUAGCGGUGAAAUGCGUAGAGAUCGGGAGGAACAUCAGUGGCGAAGGCGGCCAUCUGGGACAACACUGACGCUGAGGCACGAAAGCGUGGGGAGCAAACAGGAUUAGAUACCCCGGUAGUCCCUGUCUCUUAUAC